ACGAUCAGGACCCACGGUUAGAAACCUUGAGAAGUCAGCCUUCCAUAGGUGCAGCGUGCAUGAGUUUUGCGUGCAUACAAGGUGUUUGAUAAAAUACUGGAACCAGACUCCAACUUUGGAGUGCAAAAACAUUUUUUCAAUUGGAGCUUAAACUGUGAUGAAUUGACGAUGGAUCAAGCAUCGGCUAUUAAGUAAUUGUUCUCGGUGGUAUUCAUCGGCGGUGGUCGCCGGAAUUUGGCGAGAAUCCCAGCUGCGCACCGGAACUUUAGGGAAAGAAAACCUGCUGCCGCACCUGUUUUCGGAGCAGAAUUUGGAGGGUUUGGAGUGCGAAUUUGGGAAUCAUUCCUUGACGAAACUCGUAGAGGACCUCGAAAA